AUGACCAUCCCCAUAUCCACUAGUCUCAACUCUCUCUCUCAAACACGUGUAACGUGCAUGCUACCCACAAAUGGCAAAUAGCUGCAAGUCAAAUUACAAAAAUUGAACCGAAAACUGCAAAAACACGGAUCUCCAGCAACUCUCCUUAGUCCUAGAAAACCCGCAAUCCGAGUCUCUGGCCAUGUUCCAAAAUAUUUUCAUUUUACUUGACCCGACCCGCUUUGACAUGUUCAACUGCUUUCAAAAUCAGUUACUAUCCCUACUUACGUGUAACACAUGAAAAUGAACAUUUUAAAGUACUUUUGUGAUUAUUACGUGCGGCUAAACGGUUGGUUUUGAAGAUAUUUUUUCGAGAUUUCAUGAUGGGUGUCUUUAUUUUGGAUCACUGACUAUAAAUAGGAAAUAAAGAAAAAAGACUCUUUCUGUAAUUAUUAAUGCGGUUGAACGGUUGGUUUUGAAGAUAUUUUCAAGAUGUCAUGAUGGGUGUCGACUUAUUUUGGAUCAGUGACAGCAAAAUAGAAGGAACAAAAAAAAAAAAAAGAGUUUUGUUUCAGUAAUUAUUGAUACAGUUAAAGGGUUGGUUUUGAAUAUAUUUUUCAAGAUUUCAUGAUGGGAAUCUUUAUUUUGGAUCAGCGACUGUAAAAUAGGAAGGAAAAAAAAGUCUUUUUUUUCUUCUGUAAUUAUUAUUGUACGGUUAAAGGGUUGGUUUUGAAGAUAUUUUUCAAGAUUUCAUGAUGGGUGUUGUUAUUUUGGAUCAGUGAAUGUAAAUAGAAGGGAAAAAAAAAGGAUUUUUUUUUUUGGUUUGGAAGAUUCAAGAAAUGGCAAGUAUAUUGGAGGCAACAAUAAUACAUCAGGUGGCCAUUGUGUAUUUGUGUUAAGUCUACUAUGGUUGCUUAAUUCAUUCAAUUAUGGUCACCCUUUGGCUUGCUUUUUCUCCUUAAUCUAUAUUUAUCUGGUUCAUGAGCAGUAUUUAACAAGAUUACCUAAGGAACUGCAGUAUGAGGAAAAAAGACAGUCCAAUCAACGAAGGGUAAGUAUUUUUGGCAGCACAAUUGAUGACAUUUUUUCCUUUUUUGGAAACUCUAUUGCAUAUUUUUGGUAAUUGUUGGAUUUAACAGGCCCACAAAAAAAAAUUGAUGGGCAAAAGUAGAAAAAUAUUCCUAAGAGAUUCAAAAAGUUGCAGAGAAUUGAACUUUUUUGCUUUACUAGCUCAACAUGUAGCAUAAUGGGAAUGAAACACGUGACAGUUGGAGUUCAAUGCCGCUUAAUCGUUUGGUUUGAUCAAUCGCGCAACCCUUUGGAACAAGUUGGCCCGGAUCCUUUAUGGAGGAUUGAUGGUAAAUGACCGAUCCAAAGCAAAUGUUACACCUUAGAAUUGAAGUAGCAUUUAUUGUCUAUUAUUACUCAUUAUUAUAAUUAAAUCUACAGUUCAUUGUUGAGAAUUGCAGCUAUAUAAGGAGCUUAAAGCUCUAUGCAAAGGAUCAUUGAAGACCAUUUUAACUACGUUAAGAAAUUCAGCUUAUCAAACAAAAUUGUUCUUUUAUUGUUUGAUUACUUUGAGUUUUUAUUUCAGCAAGGCUCAGAGUUCCUCCGGGGGAUAUUCAUUGAAGGAUAACCUCAUA